ensembl:rRNA 5S_rRNA 5S ribosomal RNA
AUCUACCGCCAUACUACCCUGAAGGCGCCAAGAUCUCGGAAGCUAAGCAGGGUCAGGCCUGCUUAGUACUUGGAUGGGACAAUAGUGGUAAGGUAAGCAGAUU